AUUGAACGCUGGCGGCAGGCUUAACACAUGCAAGUCGAGCGGAGAGAGGUAGCUUGCUACUGAUCUUAGCGGCGGACGGGUGAGUAAUGCUUAGGAAUCUGCCUAUUAGUGGGGGACAACAUUUCGAAAGGAAUGCUAAUACCGCAUACGUCCUACGGGAGAAAGCAGGGGAUCUUCGGACCUUGCGCUAAUAGAUGAGCCUAAGUCGGAUUAGCUAGUUGGUGGGGUAAAGGCCUACCAAGGCGACGAUCUGUAGCGGGUCUGAGAGGAUGAUCCGCCACACUGAGACUGAGACACGGCCCAGACUCCUACGGGAGGCAGCAGUGGGGAAGAUUGGAAAAUGGGCGGAAGCCUGAUCCGGCCAUGCCGCGUGUGUGAAGAAGGCCUUAUGGUAGUAAAGCACUUUAAGCGAGGAGGAGGCUACUUUAGUUAAUACCUAGAGAUAGUGGACGUUACUCGCAGAAUAAGCACCGGCUAACUCUGUGCCAGCCGCCGCAGUAA
rnacentral:rRNA from 1 species